GCCUUAGUAGCUUAAACAAAGCAUCGGUCUUGUAAUCCGAAGACUGGAGGUUAAACUCCCCCCCAAGGCC
rnacentral:tRNA from 1 species